UCUAAUAUGGCAGAUUAGUGCUAUGAAUUUAAGAUUCAUCUAUGAAGUUAACUUCUAUUAGAA
rnacentral:tRNA from 1 species